rnacentral:rRNA from 1 species
AGUGAACGCUGGCGGUAGGCCUAACACAUGCAAGUCGAACGGCAGCACAGUAAGAGCUUGCUCUUACGGGUGGCGAGUGGCGGACGGGGGAGGAAUACAUCCGAAUCUACUUUUUCGUGGGGGAUAACGUAGGGCAACUUACCCUAAUACCGCAUACGACCUACGGGUGAAAGCAGGGGAUCUUCGGACCUUGCGCGAUUGAAUGAGCCGAUGUCGGAUUAGCUAGCUGGCGGGGUACAGGCCCACCAAGGCGACGAUCCGUAGCUGGUCUGAGAGGAAGAUCAACCACACUGGAAGUGAGACUCGGCCCAGACACCGACGGUGGGAAGCAGUGGAGAAUCUUAGACGAUGGAGCCGUGCCGAAUCCAGCCCUACGGGGGGGGUGCAGAAGGCCUUAGGGCUGGUAAGCCCUUAUGUUGUGAGAGAAGAACAGCUGGUUAAUACCCCGCUAUUAUGACGGUACCCAAAGAAUAAGCACCGGCUAACUUCGUG